GGUAAGGUUGCUCGUCUGCUACGAAUUUGAUCUAUUCAGCAAGAAGAUAAAAUAUGUGUUUCAAACAUUCGGAUUGCUCACAAAGCUUGUGUACGGUACGCUCUUUCAACUUGGCACCAGAAAGCCUGUAAGGAUUGUUUUGAAAGACAUGUGAACCCAAGCAGUUUGGGAAUAGAGACGAUGUUCGCUGUAAGAUUUUGUUGUCUCCACCCCAUUGAUCUUAUGACAGGAUGUGUGUUCAACAAAUAUCAUUUACAAGAAGCAGGCUGGACAACCAAGUGAAGAUACCAGCUGUGAUCGAACUACGAUUUGCAUUGCAGGAGAAAACUCAGCGUAAGCUCUUUUUUUUAAGUUAUUUUAAAGUUUGA